CUUGAACAGUUAAACAGUACAACGUUGCUACAACGUACAUCUGAAAUCACCAUCCCUUUAAUGGAGCUGCAGCUCCUGUCCCUUUAAUGGAGCUACAGCUCCCGUCCCUUUAAUGGAGCUACAGCUCCCGUCCCUUUAAUGGAGCUGCAGCUCCCGUCCCUUUAAUGGAGCUGCAGCUCCCGUCCCUUUAAACUGGAGUUUACGUCCCUUAGUUAAACUGGAGUUUACGUCCCUUAGUUAAACUGGAGUUUACGUCCCUUAGUUAAACUGGAGUUUACGUCCCUUAGUUAAACUGGAGUUUACGUCCCUUAGUUAAACUGGAGUUUACGUCCCUUAGUUAAACUGGAGGUCUUCUGUCAGUGUUACACGUCUGCAGUGGGCCACCGGCCCAUCAAACAGACCUACAUUACGUUGACAAAGUGUUGUCAUUACGUUGACAAAGUGUUGUCAUUACGUUGACAAAGUGUUGUCUUUACAUUGUCUCCUGGGCCUGCAUCCCAAAUGGCACCCUAUUCCAUAUAUAGUGCACUACUUUAGACCCAAAGGGAAUAGUAGUGCACUAUAAAGGGAGUAGGGUGCCAUUUGGGACGCCAGUCCAGUAAGUGAGGUCAGAGUAGUCUUAGCGGCUACGGUGUUCAACAAUCUACAGUGUUUCCUUUAGAGACAACAGUACAGAUCCCCUAUCAGGCCAUUAUAGUAGUUAACUAAUAAACACAGUGACAGUACAGAUCCCCUAUCAGGCCAUUAUAGUAGUUAACUAAUAACCACAGUGACAGUACAGAUCCCCUAUCAGGCCAUUAUAGUAGUUAACUAAUAAACACAGUGACAGUACAGAUCCCCUAUCAGGCCAUUAUAGUAGUUAACUAAUAAACACAGUGACAGUACAGAUCCCCUAUCAGGCCAUUAUAGUAGU
ensembl:lncRNA